UACGUAGGAGGCAAGCGUUGUCCGGAUUUACUGGGUGUAAAGGGCGUGUAGCCGGGCUUACAAGUCAGAUGUGAAAUCCGGGGGCUCAACCCCCGAACUGCAUUUGAAACUGUAGGUCUUGAGUAUCGGAGAGGCAGGCGGAAUUCCUAGUGUAGCAGUGAAAUGCGUAGAUAUUAGGAGGAACACCAGUGGCGAAGGCGGCCUGCUGGACGACAACUGACGGUGAGGCGCGAAAGCGUGGGGAGCAAACAGG
rnacentral:rRNA from 1 species